CAGUAGCCGCGGUAAAACGAAGGGGGCUAGCGUUAAUCGGAAUUACUGGGCGUAAAGCGUGCGCAGGCGGUUGUGUAAGACAGGUGUGAAAUCCCCGGGCUUAACCUGGGAACUGCGCUUGUGACUGCACAGCUAGAGUAUGGCAGAGGGGGGUGGAAUUCCACGUGUAGCAGUGAAAUGCGUAGAGAUGUGGAGGAACACCGAUGGCGAAGGCAGCCCCCUGGGCCAAUACUGACGCUCAUGCACGAAAGCGUGGGGAGCAAACAGGAUUAGAUACCCCUGUAGUCCCUGUCUCUUAUAC
rnacentral:rRNA from 1 species